AAUGGUGGCGAACGGGUGAGUAACGCGUAGAUAAUCUGCCUUUUAGACUGGGAUAAGCUCGGGAAACUGAGUCUAAUACCGGAUGUGAUCAUGAAGAUGCAUAUUUUUAUGAUUAAAGAACUUGAUUCGCUAAAAGAUGAGUCUGCGUGGCAUUAGCUAGUUGGUGAGGUAACAGCUCACCAAGGCAUCGAUGCCUAGCUGGUCUGAGAGGAUGAUCAGCCACACUGGGACUGAGAUACGGCCCAGACUCCUACGGGAGGCAGCAGUGAGGAAUAUUGCACAAUGGGGGCAACCCUGACGCAGCAACGCCGCGUGUAUGAAGAAUCGGUUUAUCCGUGUAAAGUACUGUUGAUUGGGAAGAACGGCAAGGUUAGCAGCCUUGUUUGACGGUACCAGUUAAGAAAGCUCCGGCUAACUCCGUGCCAGCAGCCGCGGUAAUACGGAGGGAGCAAACGUUGUCCGGAAUCAUUGGGCGUAAAGGGUACGAAGGUGGGAUCUUAAGUCAGUUGUUAAAGAUUACAGCUUAACUGUGAUUUGCAAUUGAAACUGGGAUUCUUGAGUUCGAGAGGGGACGGUGGAAUAUCUAGUGUAGCGGUGGAAUGCGUAGAUAUUAGAUAGAACACCUGAGGCGAAGGCGACCGUCUGGCUCGUAACUGACACUCAAGUACGAAAGCAUGGGUAGCGAACAGGAUUAGAUACCCUGGUAGUCCAUGCCGUAAACGAUGGAUACUAGAUG
rnacentral:rRNA from 1 species